UUUUACGGAGAGUUUGAUUCUGGCUCAGAACGAACGCUGGCGGCGUGUUUAAGACAUGCAAGUCGCACGGGACCAAAUUGGUAGUAAUACUCGUUUGGUCCAGUGGCGCACGGGUGAGUAACACGUGAAUUACAUGCCCUUCAGUGGGGAAUAGCCCAGGGAAACUUGGAUUAAUACCCCAUGGUAUCGCAAGAUUAAAGGUGGCCGCAAGGCU
rnacentral:rRNA from 1 species